AGUGAACGCUGGCGGUAGGCCUAACGCAUGCAAGUCGAACGGCAGCACAGUAAGAGCUUGCUCUUACGGGUGGCGAGUGGCGGACGGGCGAGGAAUACAUCGGAAUCUACUUUUUCGUGGGGGAUAACGUAGGGAAACUUACGCUACUACCGCAUACGACCUACGGGUGAAAGCAGGGGAUCUUCGGACCUUGCGCGAUUGAAUGAGCCGAUGUCGGAUUAGCUAGUUGGCGGGGUAAGGGCCCACCAAGGCGACGAUCCGUAGCUGGUCUGAGAGGAUGAUCAGCCACACUGGAACUGAGACACGGUCCAGACUCCUACGGGAGGCAGCAGUGGGGAAUAUUGGACAAUGGGCGCAAGCCUGAUCCAGCCAUACCGCGUGGGUGAAGAAGGCCUUCGGGUUGUAAAGCCCUUUUGUUGGGAAAGAAAAGCAGCAGGUUAAUACCCCGCUGUUCUGACGGUACCCAAAGAAUAAGCACCGGCUAACUUCGUG
rnacentral:rRNA from 1 species